AUAAGGGCGCACGGUGGAUGCCUUGGCACUAGGAGCCGAUGAAGGACGGGACUAACACCGAUAUGCUUUGGGGAGCUGUACGUAAGCUAUGAUCCAGAGAUUUCCGAAUGGGGGAACCCAACAUCUUUAAUAGGAUGUUACGAUUGUGUGAAUACAUAGCACAUUCGAGGUAGACGCAGAGAACUGAAACAUCUAAGUACCUGCAGGAAGAGAAAGAAAAUUCGAUUCCCUGAGUAGCGGCGAGCGAAACGGGAAAAGCCCAAACCAGCAAGCUUGCUUGUUGGGGUUGUAGGACUCCAAUAUGGUAGUUCUUUCAGAUAGUCGAAUGACUUGGAAAAGUCAGUCAAAGAGGGUAAAAACCCCGUAGACGAAAUGUGGAAGACACCUAGGAGGAUCCUGAGUACGGCGGAACACGAGAAAUUCCGUCGGAAUCCGGGAGGACCAUCUCCCAAGGCUAAAUACUCCCUAGUGACCGAUAGUGAACCAGUACCGUGAGGGAAAGGUGAAAAGCACCCCGGAAGGGGAGUGAAAUAGAACCUGAAACCGUGUGCCUACAACAAGUCAAAGCCCGUUAAUGGGUGAUGGCGUGCCUUUUGUAGAAUGAACCGGCGAGUUACGAUUGCAUGCGAGGUUAAGUUGAAGAGACGGAGCCGCAGCGAAAGCGAGUCUGAAUAGGGCGUUUGAGUAUGUAGUCGUAGACCCGAAACCAUGUGAUCUACCCAUGUCCAGGUUGAAGGUGCGGUAAAACGCACUGGAGGACCGAACCCACGUACGUUGAAAAGUGCGGGGAUGAGGUGUGGGUAGCGGAGAAAUUCCAAACGAACUUGGAGAUAGCUGGUUCUCUCCGAAAUAGCUUUAGGGCUAGCCUCGGAAUUGAGAAUGAUGGAGGUAGAGCACUGUUUGGACUAGGGGCCCAUCUCGGGUUACCGAAUUCAGAUAAACUCCGAAUGCCAUUCAUUCAUAUCCGGGAGUCAGACUGUGAGUGAUAAGAUCCAUAGUCGAAAGGGAAACAGCCCAGACCACCAGCUAAGGUCCCAAAAUAUAUGUUAAGUGGAAAAGGAUGUGGGGUUGCACAGACAACUAGGAUGUUGGCUUAGAAGCAGCCACCAUUUAAAGAGUGCGUAAUAGCUCACUAGUCGAGUGACCCUGCGCCGAAAAUGUACCGGGGCUAAACAUAUUACCGAAGCUGUGGAGUACACCUUUAGGUGUAUUGGUAGGAGAGCGUUCUAAGGGCGUUGAAGGCAGAUCGUGAGGAC
rnacentral:rRNA from 1 species